rnacentral:rRNA from 1 species
GGGCUCACACAAGCGGUGGAGCAUGUGGCUUAAUUCGAGGCUACGCGAAGAACCUUAUCCUGGGCUUGACAUGUGCGAAAGCGUCGGGAAGUAGCUGCCGGAAACGGCCAGCCAACGGUAUCCAGUCCGGAACCCGAUACAGGUGCUGCAUGGCUGUCGUCAGCUCGUGUCGUGAGAUGUUGGGUUAAGUCCCCUAACGAGCGAAACCCUUGUUUCCAGUUGCCAGCGGGUAAAGCCGGGGACUCUGGAAAGACUGCCGGUGUAAACCGGAGGAAGGCGGGGAUGACGUCAAGUCCUCAUGGCCUUUAUGCCCAGGGCUGCACACGUGCUACAAUGGCGUGAACAAAGGGAUGCAAACCCGCGAGGGGGAGCCAAUCUCAAAAAACACGCCCCAGUUCAGAUUGAAGGCUGCAACUCGCCUUCAUGAAGUUGGAAUCGCUAGUAAUCGCAGGUCAGCAACACUGCGGUGAAUGUGUUCCUGAGCCUU